CAGCGUUCAAUUAAGCUGUUAUGUUUUUUUUUGGUGUUACUAAUUUAUUUUUUCUGAAACAUGUUUUUCUUAGUGUUCAUUCUUAAUCAUCCUUAAUAAUAAGAACCAUACUAACAUGUAUAAUAAGAUCUCUACUAAUAUCUUACUUAAGUAAUAGCUAAGUUUUAUAUGUUUUGUCAUUCAAAGCAUGUAUAUUCUUAGCAUUUCCAUUACAGUAGAUAGUAGUUUUAAACAUUUUGUAAAAACCAUUGUUAAAAAUCGUCAGGAAAAUUCAUCUGAUUUUUCAAAAAAGUCAUUUAAUUUUAUAUAAAUAGUUGGCUACGAACCCUGUUGGAGAAACAUUGUUUUAAUAUGAGUUUUUUUGUUUUACAUUGCAAUGUGUAUCUCAAACAAUAAUAAGAAUUGUUUUGUGUCAGUCCCAGAAAUUGAAUGCGCACCUGCAAAUUUCAUAAUUCAUAAAAAUAUUAUGAAUCCAUUAGCAAGUAUAUAUUUUUAUCAUUAAAGGUUUGGCCCUCUGUCUUUAAUUUUAUCUGUUUUGUUAGUGAUUGUUGUAUUUACUUUCAUAAAUUCUAAAUAUAAUAUAUAAUUAGUUGUAUAGUUUCUUAAUAAUAUAAUUAACUUUAUUGUUUCAAGAUAAAGUUGUAUCCUUGAUAGAUAUUCUGGUAUUAUUGGCACAAUGGGCAAGCAUUGAAGUGCAACUUGGUGAACUACAAAAUACAUCAAAUUCAGUUAUAAAAUUUUGAGUAUCAAAGGUAUGCUAAUUAUUGUAUUGCCUGAAAGAGUGUCAUUGCCAUUAAAAGCAGUGAAGAAUUCAAGUACUUUGGAAGAAAAAAGACAAGAAAACACUUCAGUAAAUGGCUGUGUAUUUUUGCAAGUUAAUUAUUUGGCACAAAUUGGAGUGAAAGACGAAGGAGAUUGUAUAUGUUAUUUACUAAGAAUAGUUUAUUAAAAUGGCCUAGCUCUAAAAUUAAAUUAUGCAGGGAGAGGAUAAAAAUUGGAAUAGGAAAAAUGUUGAUUGCGUAUGCUGCUAUUGAAACUGUGAAGUCAAUUAAGCAUGGCUUAUGCAGACAUAUGAUAGAGAUAGCGGAAGAAAAAAUGAUAAUCGUGGGGACCAAAUAUCAUAAGCUAAACACGAUUCAAUAACAAGUAGCUCAGUCAAUAUCGAAACAACUCUAUAAAUUUUAUAGUGAAUUUUUUUAUUUAAAACUCAAUGUGUUAGUUUUUGGUAUAAGUUUGGUGUUUGCAAUAUGUAUAUUUAACCGAGAAAUUAUGUUUAAUAAAUAAAUGUUUA